AUGAAUAUCUAUGGCGUGGUUGUCGCUGGCGCUUCGGCGCAUGUGCACACCCGCUAUUCAUAUCUUUCCACCUGUGCACUUUAUGUAGAACUGAGAAACUCUCGCUCUCGAGCGGAUGCAAGGAUUGCUGCGUCGCAAGGCCGGCUCUCUUUGAACUCUCAGUUCUAUGUACUCAUACACCCCAUUACAAACAGUCAAAGAAUGAAACAAUGGGCUUCGUGCCUAUAAAACUAUAUA
rnacentral:misc_RNA from 1 species